CUGCUGCCUCCCGUAGGAGUCUGGUCCGUGUCUCAGUACCAGUGUGGGGGGCCUUCCUCUCAGAACCCCUACGCAUCGUCGCCUCGGUGGGCCGUUACCCCGCCGACUAGCUAAUGCGCCGCAUGCCCAUCCGUGGCCGGGAUUGCUCCCUUUGGCGGCCUUGGGAUGCCCCAAGGCCGCGUUACGCGGUAUUAGACGGGGUUUCCCCCGCUUAUCCCCCUGCCACGGGCAGGUUGCAUACGUGUUACUCACCCGUGCGCCGGCCGCCGGCAACGG
rnacentral:rRNA from 1 species